UACAGGGGUCCCGAGCGUUGUUCGGAUUCAUUGGGCGUAAAGGGUGCGUAGGCGGCUUCCUAAGUUUGAUGUGAAAUCCUGGGGCUCAACCCUGGAACUGCAUUGAAUACUGGGAGGCUAGAGUACUGGAGAGGAAACUGGAAUUUACGGUGUAGCAGUGAAAUGCGUAGAGAUCGUAAGGAAGACCAGUGGCGAAGGCGACACACUGGCCCGUUACUGACGCUGAGGCGCGAAAGCGUGGGGAGCAAACAGG
rnacentral:rRNA from 1 species